rnacentral:rRNA from 1 species
UACGUAGGGGGCUAGCGUUGUCCGGAUUUAUUGGGCGUAAAGAGCGUGUAGGCGGCCAGGUAGGUCUGCUGUGAAAACUCGAGGCUCAACCUCGAGACGUCGGCGGAAACCAUCUGGCUAGAGUCCUGAAGAGGAGAGUGGAAUUCCUGGUGUAGCGGUGAAAUGCGCAGAUAUCAGGAAGAACACCCGUGGCGAAGGCGGCUCUCUGGGACGGUACUGACGCUGAGACGCGAAAGCGUGGGGAGCGAACAGG